GAACAAACGACGAAGGCGACACAAUGGCGGCGACGGCAGCGAGGAAAGGCGACGGCGGCGGCAGCGGCGGGGAAAGAACUAGCAGAUCAAGACGACGCCGACGAGAUCCUCCUCCAGCGACUGGUCCCCGGUCGAUCAAUGUUCUUCUUACAAUUCCAAUAUGGGUUCUUGUGACACGUAUGCAGGUUGAUCUUGAUGAAAACAUUUGGAAGGAUAUGAACAACGAAUGAUCCCACCAACUGCUUUUAGAACUGGCAUUUGAGAGCAGCAUAAUUUUUUUUUUGCCACCGAAUAGAAUAUUCCAUGAGAUCGAACUGAUGAUCCGUUGUUGUUUUUUAUUACCAUGCAACGUUUCAUAAACAUUCUUGUAUAUUUAUUGCAAAGAUAUGAUUUUUAUUUGA